UUCAAUACUGUUGAGCAGUUGGAUCGUAAUCAAUUUCAGCUAUGUUACUCUAGAUAAUUCCAGAAUCAUGUAGGAUUCGACGGAUUGUGAAACGGAGCCCCGGAUAUUCCGAAAUCGCGAACCCUAGGGCUAGGGUUUAGAAAUUAUGCAAUUACACGAUCGUGAUCAAUCCGACCGUCCGAUCGACACCAAUACCCUCGGCACAUGUGUCCU
rnacentral:lncRNA from 1 species